GCAGCCUGAUGCAGCGACGCCGCGUGGGGGAUGACGGCCUUCGGGUUGUAAACCCCUUUCAGCACAGACGAAGCGCAAGUGACGGUAUGUGCAGAAGAAGCACCGGCCAACUACGUGCCAGCAGCCGCGGUAAUACGUAGGGUGCGAGCGUUGUCCGGAAUUACUGGGCGUAAAGAGCUCGUAGGUGGUUUGUCGCGUUGUUCGUGAAAACUCACAGCUCAACUGUGGGCGUGCGGGCGAUACGGGCAGACUGGAGUACUGCAGGGGAGACUGGAAUUCCUGGUGUAGCGGUGGAAUGCGCAGAUAUCAGGAGGAACACCGGUGGCGAAGGCGGGUCUCUGGGCAGUAACUGACGCUGAGGAGCGAAAGCGUGGGGAGCGAACAGGAUUAGAUACCCUGGUAGUCCACGCCGUAAACGGUGGGUACUAGGUGUGGGUUUCCUUCCUUGGGAUCCGUGCCGUAGCUAACGCAUUAAGUACCCCGCCUGGGGAGUACGGCCGCAAGGCUAAAACUCAAAGAAAUUGACGGGGGCCCGCACAAGCGGCGGAGCAUGUGGAUUAAUUCGAUGCAACGCGAAGAACCUUACCUGGGUUUGACAUGCACAGGACGUGCCUAGAGAUAGGUAUUCCCUUGUGGCCUG
rnacentral:rRNA from 1 species